rnacentral:lncRNA from 1 species
UGUAUGUAGAAGGCUUGCCAGACAGAAUUUCCUUUCCAAGCCCUACCUGGUUUGGAAUUCCAUGACUUGAAAGGAUCGUCUGUGGAGUAAUAAAACCAAGUUUGUUGUUAAAAAGUAAGUUCCAGGCCAGGUAUGGUGGCUCACGCCUGUAAUCCCAGCACUUUGGGAGGCCAAGGCAGGUGAGUCACCUGAGGUCAGGAGUUCAAGACCAGCCUGACCAACAUAUCUACUAAAAAUGUUAAAAAUUAGCCAGGCAUAUUGGCUGGUGCCUGUAAUCCCAGCUACUUGGGAGCCUGAAGCAGGAGAAUCGCUUGAAUCUGGGAGGCAGAGGCUGCAGUGAGCCCAGAUCACAGCACUGUACUCUAGCCUGGGCAACAGAGUGAGACUCUGCCUCGACAACAACAACAACAAUAUUAAAAAAACCUGAACUAGUUAUUUCCUACUCGCCUCCUGGAAUGGCUAAUAAAAUAAACACUAAAGCUUUGCAGUCCCCAAAAAGACCAUGAAGCCCUGAGAGUAAUGGAAAGGUUCCUGAAAUUGAGGUCACUGUGGAAGAGAUGGGAUAGUGCUGUGUUUCCCAGGAUGGUCUCAAACUCCUAGCCUCAAGUGAUCCUCCUGCCGCAGCCU